GAUGAACGCUGGCGGCGUGCCUAAUACAUGCAAGUCGAGCGAACAGACGAGGAGCUUACUCCUCUGACGUUAGCGGCGGACGGGUGAGUAACACGUGGAUAACCUACCUAUAAGACUGGGAUAACUUCGGGAAACCGGAGCUAAUACCGGAUAACAUGUUGAACCGCAUGGUUCAACAGUGAAAGACGGUCUUGCUGUCACUUAUAGAUGGAUCCGCGUCGCAUUAGCUAGUUGGUAAGGUAACGGCUUACCAAGGCAACGAUGCGUAGCCGACCUGAGAGGGUGAUCGGCCACACUGGAACUGAGACACGGUCCAGACUCCUACGGGAGGCAGCAGUAGGGAAUCUUCCGCAAUGGGCGAAAGCCUGACGGAGCAACGCCGCGUGAGUGAAGAAGGUCUUCGGAUCGUAAAACUCUGUUAUUAGGGAAGAACAAAUGUGUAAGUAACGAUGCACGUCUUGACGGUACCUAAUCAGAAAGCCACGGCUAACUACGU
rnacentral:rRNA from 1 species